UACAGAGGUCCCAAGCGUUGUUCGGAUUCACUGGGCGUAAAGGAUGCGUAGGCGGUCGGGUAAGUCUGAUGUGAAAUCUCACAGCUUAACUGUGAAACUGCAUUGGAUACUAUCCGGCUCGAGGAAUGGAGGGGAGACUGGAAUACUUGGUGUAGCAGUGAAAUGCGUAGAUAUCAAGUGGAACACCAGUGGCGAAGGCGAGUCUCUGGACAUUUCCUGACGCUGAGGCACGAAAGCCAGGGGAGCAAACGGG
rnacentral:rRNA from 1 species